rnacentral:rRNA from 1 species
UACAUGCGCACAUGCCUCUUCCUCUGGAAGGGCAGUGUUUAUUANAUACAGAACCAACCCACCUUCCGGUGGUCCUCGGGUGAUUCAUAGUAACCGAACGGAUCGCGUUUGACUUCGGUCUGCGACGGAUCAUUCAAGUUUCUGACCUAUCAGCUUUCGACGGUACUGUAUUGGACUACCGUGGC